GAGGGUAUAGCUCAGUGGUAGAGUGCGUGCCUAGCAUGCACAGAUCUGGGGUUCAAUCCCCAGUACUUCCA
rfam:Camelus ferus unplaced genomic scaffold scaffold1862, whole genome shotgun sequence.